rnacentral:rRNA from 1 species
GGAUAGAGGCCUACUAUGGUUUUAACGGGUAACGGGGAAUUAGGGUUCGAUUCCGGAGAGGGAGCCUGAGAAACGGCUACCACAUCCAAGGAAGGCAGCAGGCGCGCAAAUUACCCAAUCCCGACACGGGGAGGUAGUGACAAUAAAUAACAAUACGGGGCUCAUUUGGGUCUCGUAAUUGGAAUGAGUACAAUUUAAAUCUCUUAACGAGGAACAAUUGGAGGGCAAGUCUGGUGCCAGCAGCCGCGGUAAUUCCAGCUCCAAUAGCGUAUAUUAAAGUUGUUGCAGUUAAAAAGCUCGUAGUUGAAUUUCGGGAUUGACGUGAUGGUCAUGCCUUAAGGGGUAUGAACUGUUACUGUUGAUUUCUCACCUUCUGGAGAAACUUGAUGUCCUUUAUUGGGUGUCUUGCGGAUCCAGGACCUUUACCUUGAAAAAAUUAGAGUGUUUAAAGCAGGCAUUAUUGCUCGAAUACAUUAGCAUGGAAUAAUAGAAUAGGACGGCAUGGUUCUAUUUUGUUGGUUUCUAGGAUCACCGUAAUGAUUAAUAGGGAUAGUUGGGGGCAUUAGUAUUCAAUUGUCAGAGGUGAAAUUCUUGGAUUUAUUGAAGACUAACUACUGCGAAAGCAUUUGCCAAGGAUGUUUUCGUUAAUCAAGAACGAAAGUUAGGGGAUCGAAGACGAUCAGAUACCGUCGUAGUCUUAACCAUAAACUAUGCCGACUAGGAAUCAGACGAUGUUAAUUUUUUAAUGACUCGUUUGGCACCUUACGGGAAA